UACGGAGGGUGCGAGCGUUAAUCGGAAUUACUGGGCGUAAAGCGUGCGCAGGCGGUUUCUUAAGUCAGAUGUGAAAGCCCCGGGCUUAACCUGGGAAUUGCGUUUGAAACUGGGAGACUUGAGUGUGGCAGAGGGGGGUGGAAUUCCACGUGUAGCAGUGAAAUGCGUAGAUAUGUGGAGGAACACCGAUGGCGAAGGCAGCCCCCUGGGCUAACACUGACGCUCAUGCACGAAAGCGUGGGGAGCAAACAGG
rnacentral:rRNA from 1 species